rnacentral:rRNA from 1 species
CGGGGGGUGCAAGCGUUGUUCGGAUUUAUUGGGCGUAAAGCGCGUGUAGGCGGUUUGUUAAGUCUGAUGUGAAAGCCCUGGGCUCAACCCAGGAAGUGCAUUGGAUACUGGCAGACUUGAAUACGGGAGAGGGUAGUGGAAUUCCUGGUGUAGGAGUGAAAUCCGUAGAUAUCAGGAGGAACACCGGUGGCGAAGGCGGCUGCCUGGACCGAUAUUGACGCUGAGACGCGAAAGCGUGGGUAGCAAACAGGAUUAGAUACCCUGGUAGUCCACGCCGUAAACGAUGAGUACUAGGUGUUGCGGGUAUUGACCCCUGCAGUGCCGCAGCUAACGCAUUAAGUACUCCGCCUGGGAAGUACGGUCGCAAGACUA